AACANUGGGGAAUUUGGNAUGGGCGAAGCCUGAUCCAGCCAUGCCGCGUGUGUGAAGAAGGUCUUCGGAUUGUAAAGCACUUUAAGUUGGGAGGAAGGGCAGUAAGUUAAUACCUUGCUGUUUUGACGUUACCAACAGAAUAAGCACCGGCUAACUUCGUGCCAGCAGCCGCGGUAAUACGAAGGGUGCAAGCGUUAAUCGGAAUUACUGGGCGUAAAGCGCGCGUAGGUGGUUCAGCAAGUUGGAUGUGAAAUCCCCGGGCUCAACCUGGGAACUGCAUCCAAAACUACUGAGCUAGAGUACGGUAGAGGGUGGUGGAAUUUCCUGUGUAGCGGUGAAAUGCGUANAUAUAGGAAGGAACNCCAGUGGCGAAGGCGACCACCUGGACUGAUACUGACCCUGAGGUGCGAA
rnacentral:rRNA from 1 species